rnacentral:rRNA from 1 species
AACGAACGCUGGCGGCAUGCCUAACACAUGCAAGUCGAACGAGACCUUCGGGUCUAGUGGCGCACGGGUGCGUAACGCGUGGGAACCUGCCCUUAGGUUCGGAAUAACUCCCCGAAAGGGGUGCUAAUACCGGAUAAUUUCUUCGGACCAAAGAUUUAUCGCCUUUGGAUGGGGCCGCGUUGGAUUAGCUAGUUGGUAGGGUAAAAGCCUACCAAGGCGACGAUCCAUAGCUGGUGUGAGAGGAUGAUCAGCCACACUGGGACUGAGACACGGCCCAGACUCCUACGGGAAGCAGCAGUGGGGAAUAUUGGACAAUGGGCGAAAGCCUGAUCCAGCAAUGCCGCGUGAGUGAUGAAGGCCUUAGGGUUGUAAAGCUCUUUUACCCGGGAUGAUAAUGACAGUACCGGGAGAAUAAGCUCCGGCUAACUCCGUG